AGAGUUUGAUCCUGGCUCAGGACGAACGUUGGCGGCGUGGAUGAGGCAUGCAAGUCGAACGCGAAAGCCGCAAGGUGAGUAGCGUGGCGGACGGGCGAGUAACACGUAAUCAAGCUACCUGCGAGACGGGGAUAACCUCGGGAAACCGAGGCUAAGACCCGAUGGCCUACCGGGGACGCAUGUUCCUGGUAGUAAAUGGGCGGGACCUUUCGGGGUCGCCUGCUCGCAGAGGUGAUUGCGGCCCAUCAGCUAGUUGGUAGGGUAAUGGCCUACCAAGGCAACGACGGGUAGCCGGCCUUAGAGGGUGGUCGGCCGCACUGGGACUGAGAUACUGCCCAGACUCCUACGGGAGGCUGCAGUCGAGAAUCUUCCGCAAUGGGCGAAAGCCUGACGGAGCGACGCCGCGUGGAGGACGAAGGCCUUCGGGUUGUAAACUCCUGUCACGAGUUAAGAAGGUGGCACUACGAACAGUGGUGUCAUUUGACGUAAGCUCGAGAGGAAGCACUGGCUAACUCUGUGCCAGCAGCCGCGGUAAUACAGAGAGUGCAAACGUUGUUCGGAAUUACUGGGCUUAAAGCGCACGUAGGUGGCAUCGUAAGUGUCAGGUGAAAUCCCACGGCUCACCCGUGGAACUGCCUGGCAUACUGCGAUGCUCGAGUGUGGUAGGGGAGAGCGGAACUCUUGGUGGAGCGGUGAAAUGCGUAGAUAUCAAGAGGAACACCGGUGGCGAAGGCGGCUCUCUGGUCCACAACUGACACUGAGGUGCGAAAGCUAGGGGAGCAAACGGGAUUAGAUACCCCGGUAGUCCUAGCUGUAAACGAUGGGCACUAGCUUGGGGUCUCCCUGUGUGAUCCCAGGUGAAGUAAAAAUGAUAAGUGCCCCGCCUGGGGAGUAUGGUCGCAAGGCUGAAACUCAAAGGAAUUGACGGG
rnacentral:rRNA from 1 species